rnacentral:rRNA from 1 species
CCUACGGGAGGCAGCAGUGGGGGAUAUUGGACAAUGGGGGAAACCCUGAUCCAGCGACGCCGCGUGAGUGAAGAAGUAUUUCGGUAUGUAAAGCUCUAUCAGCAGGGAAGAAAGAAAUGACGGUACCUGAGUAAGAAGCCCCGGCUAACUACGUGCCAGCAGCCGCGGUAAUACGUAGGGGGCAAGCGUUAUCAGGAUUUACUGGGUGUAAAGGGAGCGUAGACGGCAGCACAAGUCUGGAGUGAAAUCCCGGGGCUUAACCCCGGAACUGCUUUGGAAACUGUGCGGCUGGAGUGCAGGAGGGGUAAGCGGAAUUCCUAGUGUAGCGGUGAAAUGCGUAGAUAUUAGGAGGAACACCGGUGGCGAAGGCGGCCUGCUGGACUGUGACUGACGUUGAGGCCCGAAGGCGUGGGGAGCAAACAGGAUUAGAUACCCUUGUAGUC